GAUGAACGCUGGCGGCGUGCUUAACACAUGCAAGUCGAACGAAGCACUUUAUUUGAUUUCCUUCGGGACUGAUUAUUUUGUGACUGAGUGGCGGACGGGUGCGUAACGCGUGGGUAACCUGCCUUGUACAGGGGGAUAACAGUUGGAAACGGCUGCUAAUACCGCAUAAGCGCACGGCAUCGCAUGAUGCAGUGUGAAAAGCUCCGGUGGUAUAAGAUGGACCCGCGUUGGAUUAGCUAGUCGGUGAGGUAACGGCACACCAAGGCGACGAUGCAUAGCCGACCGGGGAGGGGGACCGGUCACAUUGGAACUGAGACACGGACUAAUCUCGGACGGAAGGCAGCAGUGUGGAAUAUUGCACGAUGGGCGAAAGCGUGGUGCAGCGACGCGGCGUGAGCGAGGAAGUAUUUCGGUAUGUAAAGCUCUAUCAGCAGGGAAGAGAAUGACGGUACCUGACUAAGAAGCACCGGCUAAAUACGUG
rnacentral:rRNA from 1 species